CACGUAGGGCGCAAGCGUUGUCCGGAAUUAUUGGGCGUAAAGAGCUCGUAGGCGGUCUGUUACGUCUGCUGUGAAGACCCGGGGCUUAACCCCUGGGCUUGCAGUGGAUACGGGCAGACUAGAGGCAGGUAGGGGAGAAUGGAAUUCCCGGUGUAGCGGUGAAAUGCGCAGAUAUCAGGAGGAACACCGAUGGCGAAGGCAGGUCUCUGGGCUAACACUGACGCUCAUGCACGAAAGCGUGGGGAGCAAACAGG
rnacentral:rRNA from 1 species